GACGAACGCUGGCGGCGUGCUUAACACAUGCAAGUCGAACGGAAAGGCCCUGCUUUUGUGGGGUGCUCGAGUGGCGAACGGGUGAGUAACACGUGAGUAACCUCCCCUUGACUUUGUGAUAACUUCAGGAAACUGGGGCUAAUACCGGAUAGGAGCUCCUGCUGCAUGGUGGGGGUUGGAAAGUUUCGGCGGUUGGGGAUGGACUCGCGGCUUAUCAGCUUGUUGGUGGGGUAGUUGAUUACCAAGGCUUUGACGGGUAGCCGGCCUGAGAGGGUGACCGGCCACAUUGGGACUGAGAUACGGCCCAGACUCCUACGGGAGGCAGCGGUGGGGAAUAUUGCACAAUGGGCGGAAGCCUGAUGCAGCAACGCCGCGUGCGGGAUGACGGCCUUCGGGUUGUAAACCGCUUUCGCCUGUGACGAAGCGUGAGUGACGGUAAUGGGUAAAGAAGCACCGGCUAACUACGUG
rnacentral:rRNA from 1 species